CCCGCGCUAGUGCAUGUCUCUCUCUCUCUUUCAUUCUCUGCCCCAAAGCUGAGAGCUAUUGGCUUGCGCACCUUAAUUAUUUCACUCUCUCUCACACAGUUUGCCCGACCGCCGACACACAGACACCGCGCUCCAUCUGUCUGUAUUGUGAAGCAGAGAUGCAGUCGCUGUUCGCCGUCCUCGGCGACAGACUGGCCCUGUGUAAACGUUAUCAGUGCAGGGUAACCUGUUACUGGUGACAGUCUACGACGACAAAUGCUCGAGACCCUCGCGCAGCAUACCCGGGUCAGAUUGGGAGGAAGACGACCGGCGCAAUGAUGGGACAGUUUUCGGGGGUAUGCUACCGGAGUUUGGUCAUCCUCUUGUUUCUCGGUUUGCAGUUCCCGGCCACCGCGGCACGAGGUGCAUCCAUCAUCAAAAUGCAAUUUCAUUUUUUUCUACUUCUCCUCCUUGCCAUUGAUAAAGUUGCUGACUUGCACCAAUCCUCCAGGUGGGAUCGAUACCCUGUUUGCGGUAAUAACGGCCUGAAUGCACAGUACCCUCUGCUUGAGGUGACACCCUCCAAGGACGAGGACUGCGGCGCGUUACAAGAGGCCUGCGCUGUUGAGCAUAGGACGUAUGCUUGCCUUAUUCACACUAUAGGGCCAAACUGAGCCAAUCUGUACUGAGCUGUCCUGCUUACGCAUUCACCAUAGUUGCUGUAACGGUGCUUGAAAAGACAACUUGAAAAGAUGAUAUCAGAGCCGACACAGUGCGGUUAGGGUCAGCCCUAUAGUGUGAAUCCGGCAUAUGUGUGUAUGUACCUGGCUCCUCUCCAUCCAUUGACAACUUAAGGAAUAUGAUGUAGCCUGAGGCUUUUGAAGACCUCCCAAGGCCACAUCCAGAGGUUAUUAAGUUAGAAAGUACAGGAAUAAAUAUUGGAUUGGUAUAAAAUAGCUUCGCUAAUUUAAUUGAAGACUGCUGCGUGUUUUUGCCCUCUCGGAUUAGUUUGGAACUCAUUUGGCUCGGGGUAGUUCUUACCCAGCAAGGUUCUUACUAUAUUCAUCCUUAGUCUAAAGAGUUACAGGUUUAGGUAGAUACCGUACACAUAAACCAAUAAAGUGAGCCGCAACAAAUGGAUGUGACCAAAAAUGUUUUGUCUUUCAGGCUCGUACAGGGCUUUUUUGUUGUAC
rnacentral:lncRNA from 1 species